rnacentral:lncRNA from 10 species
GACUCAGCUGGGAUGAAGCUGGGGAAUAAAACCAGCACUCUCACGCUCCCUUACCUCCUCCAUGGAACUUCUGUUGUCAUCCAGUGGCUGAAAUCAACUGGAAGCCUACAGGGAAAGACCUGCCUCCUGGGACACAGAGCAGAAAGACACGACCUUGUGGAUUAUACUGACUGGCUCCAGCCACAUCAUCUGAAUCAGAGUAAUUGCUUUCAUCUGUGUCAUAGACAGACUACACUGUGUUCACCUCCUCUGCCAGUUGUUUCUGAUGCUGUAACCUCCAGUUUUUGAGUAAAACACUUUUGUUACAGCAAGAAGGAACACAUUUGCUGAAAACUUUCCAAAUUUUUUCGUUACUGCUGCACCAUCACUAGCUGUUGAUAUCGAUGGAAUUCCUGACCAGUAACAUUUCCAUGAAGAUCAUUACAAUUUAUUUCUUGAAAUUCUGGGAAGGCAUGGAAACAUCACAUUGCAGCAGAUGCUGGGGAUGCAGCAAUGAACAAGACAGGCCAGAUCCCUACUCUCAGAUAAACACAAUGAUCCAGGUCAGUAGGCAUUUGGUAGGAAUCUGCAUCAAACUGUUGGGCAAUGGUAGACAGCAACAUUGACGUCUGUAAAUUUACACUUGGAUUCUUAGUUUCUGGUUGGCUGCAUCCUUCUUCUGAAGGCCACUGCUCUUUUCAGAAGACCUCCCUAGAUGGCUAAGCUCUCUGGGUUGCAACAGUUGCUCUUUUUCCUUGAGCCUUAGGUUAGGGAGUUGGGAGGAAGUAAUGGCUUCCCCCACUGCUAGCUCCAGGGUGCUACACUUUCUCUUUUCUAGUUUCCCUAAUCUGGCUUACACCAUUAUAGAUAGACCCUUUAUUAAAAUAUCCUCAAUUUAUCCAUAU